rnacentral:rRNA from 1 species
UGAGGAAUAUUGGUCAAUGGGCGAGAGCCUGAACCAGCCAAGUAGCGUGCAGGACGACGGCCCUAUGGGUUGUAAACUGCUUUUAUGUGGGGAUAAAGUGCGUGACGUGUCAUGCAUUGCAGGUACCACAUGAAUAAGGACCGGCUAAUUCCGUGCCAGCAGCCGCGGUAAUACGGAAGGUCCGGGCGUUAUCCGGAUUUAUUGGGUUUAAAGGGAGCGUAGGCCGUUUGGUAAGCGUGUUGUGAAAUGUAGGAGCUCAACUUCUAGAUUGCAGCGCGAACUGUCAGACUUGAGUGCGCACAACGUAGGCGGAAUUCAUGGUGUAGCGGUGAAAUGCUUAGAUAUCAUGAAGAACUCCGAUUGCGAAGGCAGCUUGCGGGAGCGCAACUGACGCUGAAGCUCGAAGGUGCGGGUAUCGAACAGG